CCUACGGGAGGCAGCAGUGGGGAAUAUUGCACAAUGGGGGAAACCCUGAUGCAGCGACGCCGCGUGAGUGAAGAAGGAAUUCGUUAUGUAAAGCUCUAUCAGCAGGGACGAAAAUGAAGGGACCUGAGUCAGAAGCCCCGGCUAACUACGUGCCAGCAGCCGCGGUAAUACGUAGGGGGCAAGCGUUAUCCGGAGUUACUGGGUGUAAAGGGAGCGUAGACGGCAGUGCAAGUCUGGAGUGAAAGGCGGGGGCUCAACCGCCGAACUGCUCUGGAUACUGUACGGCUGGAGUGCAGGAGAGGUAGGUGGAAUUCCUAGUGUAGCGGUGAAAUGCGUAGAUAUUAGGAAGAACACCAGUUGCGAAGGCAGCUUACUAGACUGUAACUGACAUUGAGGCUCGAAAGCGUGGGGAGCAAACAGGAUUAGAUACCCUAGUAGUC
rnacentral:rRNA from 1 species